UGAUCCGAGCACGGAGCCCAUUGAUGGAGAAGUCGUGAUGAGGGUGGGAGGAGGGAAGAAGCAUGGCUGGUACUGGAUUGGAGACAGCUUGAUUGACACCGCCAGUACUCCUACUCUCGCGCAGAUUCGAGCCAGGAGCACCAGCUCUAGCCCGGCCAUACGCCCACGUCAGAGCACUACGGAGAUUCAGAUGGAGGCACUGAAGGCCUAGAUGCAACGGGACUUUGAAGCACAGCUCCUAGCACAGCAGCAGGCGUGGGCGGCCGAGCGGGAGAGGAUGCAGCAAGACCUUCGGCAGACACAGGAAGCCUCCCAGCAGAAUCAGAUGCAGCUGGCCCUGGCUUUUUAGUUCAUGCAGACUCUGGGCUCGCAAAUGGGUCUUUCGCCACUGCAAUUCACUCAGACUAAUAUCCCUGCGCGUGCAGCUACCCCUACUCCUCCUCAAUCGGCGGCAUCAAAUGAUGGACCAACAGAAAUGUCCCCUUCGCCGAUGCCUCAGAAUGUGUGGCCGCCUCCUCAUUGGGUGACUUACAUGCAGCAGUUCCAGCACCCGCCGCCGCCGCCGCCGUAGUCGUGAGUUGUGGUUGUAUGGACAUGCACUCUUUGUAUAGACUAUCGUUUGAACUUGUGCUUGUAUGAACAUGUAUGAACUACCAGUGCUUGAUGGACUUGUAUCGACUACAUUUGGGUUUGUAUGCAUUGCGAUAUUUGCAUUUGGACUUCUAUGGAUUGAAUGUGAUGCAAAUUGUGAUAUAUGAAAUG